UACAGAGGUGGCAAGCGUUGUUCGGAAUUACUGGGCGUAAAGGGCGCGUAGGCGGUCCGAUAAGUCCCGUGUGAAAUCCCUCGGCUCAACUGAGGAACCGCACGGGAAACUGCCGGGCUUGAGUUCGGGAGAGGGAAGCGGAAUUCCGGGUGUAGCGGUGAAAUGCGUAGAUAUCCGGAGGAACACCGGUGGCGAAGGCGGCUUCCUGGACCGACACUGACGCUGAGGCGCGAAAGCUAGGGGAGCAAACGGG
rnacentral:rRNA from 1 species